GAGACAAGCAUAUGACUACUGGCAGGAUCAACCAGGUAGCAUUCCUUCGAUACGCCGACGCCCGCAUGAGCCCCGAUGGCUCAGAUACGAGYGCGACCGUCGUUCAUGACAUUGAGCAAAAUGCAUUGCUUGAUUAGGCGGAGGCCCUCAAGAGACCACCCACCAACAACACAUAACAUUCCGCAUCCGAGAGCACGGGCAAAGAACCUCAUGGGCCAAGGCCACCACGCAACUAGGCGAGGCRYSCCAGGAACACGAGGCUUGCCUGACGUCCACCCCACCACCCAUUAAGGCAUAAGGCAGAGAGAAAAACACAGACCAUCAAAUUCCUUCCGGUAGGUAAGCAACACAG
rnacentral:misc_RNA from 1 species